rnacentral:rRNA from 1 species
UACGAAGGGGGCUAGCGUUGUUCGGAAUCACUGGGCGUAAAGGGCGCGUAGGCGGCUUUAUAAGUCGGGGGUGAAAGCCUGUGGCUCAACCACAGAAUUGCCUUCGAUACUGUAGAGCUUGAGACCGGAAGAGGUAAGUGGAACUGCGAGUGUAGAGGUGAAAUUCGUAGAUAUUCGCAAGAACACCGGUGGCGAAGGCGGCAUCCUGGACCGGCAUUGACGCUGAUGAGCGAAAGCCAGGGGAGCAAACGGG